rnacentral:rRNA from 1 species
GACCGCCUACGGGGGGCAGCAGUGAGGAAUAUUGGUCAAUGGCCGGAAGGCUGAACCAGCCAAGCCGCGUGAGGGAGGAAGGCGCAGAGCGUCGCAGACCUCUUUUGCCGGGGGACAAGAGGCCGGACGGGUCCGGUUGUGAGGGUACCCGGAGAAAAAGCAUCGGCUAACUCCGUGCCAGCAGCCGCGGUAAUAUGGAGGAUGCGAGCGUUAUCCGGAUUCAUUGGGUUUAAAGGGUGCGCAGGCGGGCCUUUAAGCCGGCGG